UGAUGGGAAUGAUGCAUCAAUGUAAUUGUGACAAGGAGAUGUGGCGGUGUCUUGGCAACCGUUGCUGUGGUGACGCGGGCCCGCGACAGCAGAAGCCUGGUAACGGUUGCCAGGGUGACGGCGCGAAGCGGGAUGGCGAAGGCCUGGGCUUCUUGCGGCAGGGAAUGUCGCUGCGGCUGUUACCCGCUGGAGGUGCCGCUCAGCCAGGACUGGCAGGAGAGGCAUGUGGCCCACUGGAUCGAGAAGCUCGGCUUCCCACAGUACAUGGAUUGUUUCAUUUCAAACAGAAUCUCAGGCAGGAAACUCAUUUUUGUCAACUGCUCUACUCUACCCAGUAUGGGAAUUACAGAUUUUGAACACAUGAAGGUGAUUUCCCAUGAGAUUCACAAGCUACUUGAUAUUGAAGAGCCUGCCUGGAAUCGCAGCAUUUCGCACCAUCGCAGGGAUCCCAUGGGCUUGUUUCUAGAGUGCAAGGCUCCAACAGGACCCAAGGCUGAUGCGCUAACAUUGGAAGAAUUCUUGAAAGAGCUGGAUGCCUGAAUUUCUCAAAAUCCUUCUGAAGAAAUUGGUAUCUCAACAUGAUGUCCCAGACUCUGGGACAUUGCUAGUUCUUAGAUUUCUGUCACAAUGUGUAACGUUGUGAAUCUGAUGGCAUUUACCUAGGUCAAUGUUUUUGUUCAAAGUAGCAUAAUCAAUCUUGCAAAUUAGUUGCAAAUAUCUAUAAAUAUCCAAAACCAUAAGUGUCCUGAGGGGCCAGGCCAAAUGCUUAUUUCAUAUUAUCCAUCAUUCAGUUCAGGAAUGUAAAUGUUUUGACACUAGCUACCUGAAAACUGGUCAUGAGUGGAAUAAAACAUUUGUUGUUAGAACAGAACAGUACAGGCCCUUCAGCCCACAAUGUUGUACCGACCUUUCAAUGCACUCCAUAAUUAAUCUAACCCUUCCCUCCUACAUAGUUCAUUACCCUCCACUUCUCUUACAUCUAUGUGCCUACCUAAAAUUCCUCUUAAAUGCCCCUAUCUCAAAUAUCACUUAAAUGCCCCUAGUGUAUCAGCCACCCCUGCAUUGUAUUCCAGGCACCAAACACUUUCUGCAUAAAAUAACCUACCUUUGACAUCUCCCUUAAACUUCCCUCCACCCACCUUCAAUGAAUGUCCUUUGGUAUUAACCAUUCCUGCCUUGGGGAAAAGUCUCUGGUUAGCCACUCUUUCAAUGCAUCUCAUCAUCUUGCACAUCUCUAUCUAGUCACCUGUUAUCCUCCUUUACUCCAAAGAAAAAAGUCCUAGCUCAUAAGACAUACUCUCCAUCCUGUCUAAAGCUUCCACAUCUUUCCUAUAAAGAGGUGACCAGAACUGAAUGCAAGUGUGGUCUAACUAGAGUUUGCUAGAGCUGCAACAUUACCUGGUAACGUUUGAACUCAGUCUCCAGUCUAAAAAAGACCCUAUUGAUUGUAAUUAUUGCUCCUACUGAUAAUUAAGGUGGCUUUAAGUCACAUAUUGGGGCUCUAUAAAAUACAAACCUCUGUCAGUGAAAAAUGAUCACAGGUAUAUUCAAAUUAGUUCUCACUUCCACAGUCAAAUCUCUUAGCAAACGUCUCUUGCUCUUAACAUCCAACACAGAUUUCUACUCAAAUCUCACACUCCAUCACACAAACCAGUCUCCCUUCCAUUGACUCCACCUACACUUCCCACUGCCUCAGGAAAGCAACCAACAUAAUCAAAGAUUAGUCCCACCCCAGUUAUCCUAUCUUCUACCCCCUCCAGUUGGGCAGAAGAUACAAAAGCCUGGGAGCACAAAUCACUACCUUCUACCCCACUUUUAUCAGACUCUUGAAUGGAUCUCUAUGCUUAAUCUAUUCCAUCAUGGUCCUUGUAUUUUAUUUGUCUCCCUGUAUUAUACUUUCUCUACAUCUGAAACACUAUAUUCUGAAUUGUUUUCUUUUCACUAACAAGGUAUUUAAGUAUGGAAUGAUCUGUCGGUUUAGCAUACAAACACAAUCUUUUUUUCUGUAUCUCGGAAUACAUGUAAAUAAUAAACCAUUUCUAAUAUCUUCAUAAUUCAAAACAUACAGGUACAUUCAAAUGAACUCCUAUCGCAGAUAUUCCCUUCCUCUUCACCAUCCCUUCAGCAUCCUUCCCAAUAUGUUAAAAUUAUCAGUUUUAUCUUCCUUGCCCAAUCAGUUUUGAAACAUUAAGUCUUUUUCUUUAUCUACAGAUGGUGCUUGACCUAUGGAGAGUUUACAGCAUUUCUAUUUUCAUCUCUGACAGUCAGAUGUAGAUCACCCAUCACAAACUAAACCAUUUCCUCCAUUAAAAGAACAGUACAGGCCCUUCAGCACACCACGUUAUGAUAACCUUUUCUAAGAUCAAUCUUAUCCUUCCUCGUAAAUAACCUUACAUUUUUAUUUCGUCCAUGUGCCUAAGAGUCUCUUAAAUGUCUCCAAUGUAUCUGCUCUUACCACCACCCUUGGCAGAGCAUACUACGCACCUACCAUUCUGUGUGAAAAAACUACCUCUAAUAUCCCCCUCUCUACUUUCCUCCAAUCUCCUUAAAGUUAUGCCCCUUUGUAUAAGCCAUUUCCGCCCUAUGAAAAUGUAUAUAGCUGUCCACUCUAUCUCAGACUCUUAUAUCAGAUGAUAAGAGUCAACUAUUAAGUCACUUCUCAUCCUUGUUCACUCCAGGGAGAAAAGCUAUAGCCACUCAACCUUUCCUCAUAAGACACGCUGUCUAAUCCAGGUAGCAUCUUGGUAAAUCUCCUCUGCACCCUCUUUGCUUUCCUCACCACCGACUCCAAUUUUGUCCCGGCAGACCCAUAGUUUCAGCCUGCUCCUGCCCCACUGAACUUGUGUCUGCCUACCUGGACUCCAUUUUAUCCCCCAUAGUUCAGUCUCUCCCCACCUACAUCCAGGAUACAUCCCAUGCCCUUCACCUCUUCAAUAACUUCCAAUUCCCCGGCCUCGACCGCUUCAUUUUUCCCAUGGAUGUUCAAUCCUUUUACACCUCCAUUCCAUCAAGAAGGCCUCAAAGCCCUCCACUACUUUUUGGAUAACAGACCCCACCAGUUCCCCAGUACCACCACACUCCUCCAGUUGGUGGAGCUUGUUCUAACUCUCAAUAACUUCUCCUUUGGUUCUUCCCAUUUUCUCCAGAUCUAGGGCGUAGCCAUGGGCACUCGCAUGGGCCCCAGCUAUGCCUGCCUCUUUGUGGGUUAUGUGGAACAAUCUAUGCUCCAGAUCUAUACUGGCACCACUCCCCAACUUUUCCUCCGCUACAUUGACAACUACAUUGGUGCUGCUUCCUGCACCCAUGCUGAGCUCGUCAAUUUUGCUUCUAACUUUCACCCAGCCCUUAAAUUCACUUGGUCCAUCUCGGACACUUCUUUCCCCUUUCUUGAUCUCUCGGUCUCCAUCUCUGGAGACAGACUAUCCACUGACAUAUUCUACAAACCCAUUGACUCCCAUAACUAUCUUGACUAUACCUCUUCCCACCCUGCCCAACGCAAAAAUCCCAUUCCCUAUUCCCAGUUCCUCCAUGUCCGCCGCAUCUGCUCCCAGGAUGAGGCUUUCCGUUCCAGGACUUCUCAAAUGUCCUCUUUCUUUCAGGAUGAUGGUUUCCCUUCUGGUGUCAUUAAAGAUGCCCUCAUCCGCAUCUCCUCCACUUCCCGCACUUCAGCCCUUAACCCAUCCUCCCGUCACCACAACAGGGACCGGGCUCCCCUUGUCCUCACCUACCACCCCACCAGCCUCUGGAUCCAACACAUUAUCCUCCGCAACUUCCGCCACCUUCAACAGGACCCCACCGCAUCUUUCCCUCCCUACCCCUUUCAGCUUUUCACAGGGAUCGCUCCCUCCGCGGCUACUUGGUCCACAUGUCCCUCCCCACAGAACUCCCACCUGGCACUUAUUCCUGCAAGCGCAAAUGCUACACCUGUCCCCACACCUCCCCCCUUACCACCAUUCCGGGCCCCAGACAAUCCUUCCAGGUGAGGCAACACUUCACCUGUGAGUCUGCUGGAGUCUAUUGAAUCCGGUGCUCCCAGUGCGGCCUCCUCUACAUCGAAGGGGCCCGACGCAGAUUGGGGGACUGCUUCGUUGAGCAUCUAAGCUUUGUCCGUCACAAUAGACAGGACCUCCUGGUUGCUACCCAUUUCAACUCUGCCUCUCGUUCCCAUCUAGAUAUGUCCAUACAUGGCCUCCUUUACUGCCACAAUGAGGCCAAACUCAGGUUGGAGGAGCAACACCUCAUCUACCGUCUGGGUAACCUCCAGCCUGGUGAUAUGAACAUUGAAUUCUCCAAUUUCCGGUAAUUCCCUCCCCCUUCCCCUAUCCCAGGUCCCUCUCUCCCCUUUCAGCUUUCUGCUUCUUUAUCUCUACAAUUCUUUCAUGCUUAUCCCCUCCCCCUCCACCCUUUAUCUUUCCUCUGAUUGGUUUCCACCUGGCGCCUCUAGGCCCUACCCCCUCCCCUAUCUCUAUUACUGGGCUUCGGCCCUCUCUUCCCCCCCAUUCCUGAUGAAGGGCCUCGGCCCAAAACGUUGGCUACUCUUUUCUCACGGAUGCUGCCUGGCCUGCUGAGUUCUUCCAGUGUUGUGUACCUAUAAGUUAACCUUCAGGAUUUUCUGCACAAGAACUCCCAAGUCUCUCUGCAUCUCAGAUUCUGGAUUUUCUCCUUCUUAAGAAAACAGCCUGCACAUUUACUUCUACCAAAGUGCAUGACCAUGCAUUUUCCAACAUUGUAUUUCAUUUGCCACUUUCUUGCCUAUUCUCCUGAUCUGUCCUUCUGCAUCCUGUUUUCUCCACACUACCUGCCCCUCCACCAAUCUUUGUAUCACCUUCAAACUUGUGAACAAAGCCAUCUAUUCUAUCAUCUAAAUUAUUUAUAUACAGCAUAAAAAGAAGUGGUCCAAACACCAACCCCUGUUGAACACCCUACACUGGCAGCCAACCAGAAAAGGAUCCUUUUAUUCCCACUCACUGCCUCCUACCAAUCAGCCAAUUUAUGUCAACAACCUUGAGGAGCAAACAAAGUAUAAGGUAUCCAGUAGUGGGGGAGUCUAGGACCAGAGAACAUUGCCUCAGAACAGAAGGAACUGGAUAAUUCAAGCGAUGGAAGGUGAAUUUAAUAAUUAUUCAUAACAGAGGCUUGGUGCAUAAAUGUGGCAGUGUAUUUGAAGUACAGUUUGAAAUGCCGGACAUACAGGCUGUGAGCUUGGGAAAGGCUUCUGCCUUCACUGGCCCAUUUUGCCAGCCGUCCUCAGUGAAGGUCACUUUUAUCCUUACAUCUGAGGUUCCAGUUUCAAGCCCAUUUCAGAGGCCCAAGAAGAAAUUCUCGAAUGAGAGGUGGGAGACUCAAUGGGGCGAGGAACAGUCUCUGGACUCUUGGCCAGAAGAUCUCCCCAUUCCUGCUAUUUGUCAAACACUGAGUGGCAGGCCGGGGUUCAGGAGCAGUUCCUGGCAUCCUCACCAGAAAACCUCUCCAUUCUUGCAGAUUAUUGCUGCAGUUUGUGGGAGCUUGCUACAUAUACAUUGUCUGUUCCUGUAGUCUGGGCCAUAAUGUGAUAGUGAAAGGAGCUCCAGAAAUGCAAGCUUUUCUGCUUACAAAUAGCCUUACAAUAAACGAGGCAGCACAGCAGUGCCAACAACUUGGUUCAAUUCCACUGCUGUCUGUAAGGAGUUUGUACAUUCUUCCCAUGACCCAUGUGGGUUUCCUCCAGAAAAGUGCUCUAGUUUUCUCCCACAUUCUAAAGGCAUAUAACAGUUGGUUGCAGAAGUGUAAUUGGAUGGCACAGGCUCAUUGGGCUGGAAGGGCCUGCUACUGUGCUGCAUCUAUGCAAAAGUAAGAUAGAUAUGGUCCCAAAGGAAAAAUACUAGCAUGGAUAGAAGAUUGGCUGACUGGCAGGAGGCAAAAAGUGUGAAUAAAGGGACCCUGUUUUGGUUGACUGCUAGUGACUAGUGGUGUUCUGCAUGGGUUAGUAUUGGGACUGCUUCUUUUCACAUGAUAUGCUAACAAUUUGGAUGAUGGAAUUGUUGGCUUUCUGGCCAAGUUUGUAAACAAUACAAAGAUAGGUGGAGGGCCAGAGAGUAUUGAGAAAGCUGGAUGUCUGAGACAGAUUAGGAGAAUGGGCAAAGAAGUGGCAGUUGGAAUAUAGUGUAGGGAAAGUGUAUGGUCAUGCACUUUGGUAGAAGGAAUAAAGGUGUGGGCUAUUUUCUAAACGGGUAAGGAAGGCAAAUGCAAAGUUAAAAUUCAUUUUGAGAGGACUAGACUAUAAGAGACAAGAUGUAGUGCUGAGGUUCUAUAAGGCAUUGGUCAGACCACACUUGGAAUUUUGUGAACAGUUUUGGGCCUCUUAUCUAAGGAAAUAUGUGCUGGAAUUGGAGAAGGGCCAGAGGAGGGUCACAAAAAACUAUUCCAGGAAUUAAAGGGUUAACCCACGAGGAGUGUUUAAUGACUCUGGGCCCGUACUCACUGGAGUUUAGAAGAAUGGGGGGGGGGGGAAAUCUCAUUGAAACCUUUCAAAUAUUGAAAGACCUAGAUAGAGUGCAUAUUGAGAAUAUGUUUCCUAUAGUGAAUGAGUCUAGGACCAGAGGGAGCAGCCACAGAAUGGAGGGACAUCCAUUUAGAACAGAGAUGAAGGAUUUCUUUAUCCAGAGGGUGGUACAUCUGUGGAAUUCAUUGCCAUGGACAGCUGUGAAAGUCAAAUCAAUGAGUACAUCUAAAGCAGAGGAUAAGUUCUUGAUUAGUCAGGGCAUCAAAAAAGGCUAGAAAAUGAGGCUGGGAGGGAUAACAAAUUUCCUAUUCCCACAAUAUGCAAAAUCUUCUGUAACGGGAUUAAUGGUUAAAUCUUAAAGGUAAAACAAUAUAUGCAAUGUGCGCAAGUGUACUUCAGCAAAAAAACUCCUCGAUAAAUAAAGGGAACUCACCAAAAAUGGCCCAGACCCAUCAGGUUGUACACCUUGUGUCAUGUUAUGGAGAAUAAACUGGAAUCUCGAGAAUGUACUCCAACACAAACUGUUAACCCUGCAGAACUUCACUAUUAUGCUGACAUUGACAUUGUUACAUACUCUGGUGAAUUUCAGCCAACACUGAUGUUGCAAAACUGUUAGAUUAUUGUACAAUCAAGGCUUAUUUAGACUGAUUCUGAAUAAUGUGAUGUUACUAGUUGCACUAUCAAAAUGAUUUAAAAUAAAAGAAUUUCAGUAAAUAUCUUUCUAGUCCUGCU